rnacentral:rRNA from 1 species
ACGGGAGGCAGCAGUGGGGAAUAUUGGUCAAUGGGCGUGAGCCUGAACCAGCCAAGUAGCGUGCAGGACGACGGCCCUAUGGGUUGUAAACUGCUUUUCCCGGAGGGUAAAGGCGGCCACUCGUGGCCGUUUGCAAGUAACCGGGGAAUAAGCAUCGGCUAACUCCGUGCCAGCAGCCGCGGUAAUACGGAGGAUGCGGGCGUUAUCCGGAUUUAUUGGGUUUAAAGGGAGCGUAGAUGGGCAGUCAAGUCAGCCGUUAAACCGACCGGCCCAACCGGUCGCUGCGGUUGAAACUGUCGGCCUUGAGUACGGUUGCGGGAGGCGGAAUUCAUGGUGUAGCGGUGAAAUGCAUAGAUAUCAUGAAGAACCCCGAUUGCGAAGGCAGCUUUCCAAGCCGUCACUGACAUUGAAGCUCGAAGGUGCGGGUAUCGAACAGGAUUAGAUACCCUGGUA